GAUGAACGCUGGCGGCAUGCCUAACACAUGCAAGUCGAUCGGUAAGGCUCUUCGGAGUACACGAGAGGCGGACGGCUGAGUAACGCGUAGGAACACACCCUGCAGUGAGGGAUAAGACACCGAAAGGUGUUCUAAUACCGCAUACGGUCUUCGGAUUAAAGCAUUUAUGCGCUGAAGGAGUGGCCUGCGUCAUAUUAGAUAGUUGGUGAGGUAGUGGCUCACCAAGUCGAUGAUGUGUAGCUGGUCUGAGAGGAUGAUCAGCCAGACUGGAACUGAGACACGGUCCAGACUCCUACGGGAGGCAGCAGUGAGGAAUAUUUCACAAUGAGCGAAAGCUUGAUGGAGCAAUGCCGCGUGCAGGAUGAAGGCCCUCGGGUUGUAAACUGCUUUUAUAAGAGAAGAUUAUGACGGUAACUUAUGAAUAAGGGACGGCUAACUACGUG
rnacentral:rRNA from 1 species